AAGCGGCCAGAGCCCAAGAUGGUAAUCACCUUUUAGGCGAAUUGUAAUCUUGAGUUUCAUUGCUCACCGGGAUUUGACGCAGAAGUGCCCUUGAAAGGGCCGCCAAAGAGGGUGAUAGCCCCGUAUGUGGUGUCGAGUCCUAACGAGCAUAAAAACAAAGAGUCGGGUUCUUUGGUAUUGGAGCCCUAAGCGGGAGAUAAACUUCUUCUAAGGCUAAAUAUAUGUGGGAAACCGAUAGCGAACAAGUACUGUGAAGGAAAGAUGAAAAGCACUUUGGAAAGAGAGUCAAAAGACCUGAAACCGUUGAGGAGGAAGCGGUAGAGAUGAAUUCUACAGCGAGGCGCGGGGAAGUUGGCCAAAACAAGGCAGGUGUGUUGAACGUCAAAGGCAGCUGCUUGUCUAUGUGGAAGCCAAUCAUUUGCGCGGCGUUGUGAGGCCAGAUGGGGUGACGUGAUCACAAAGGCCUAUCUUGUCUGGUCUUCUUCGGAAGACAACCUGGUAGUGCCGGUGGCUGCGUGGCCUGAGGGUGCUUUGUGCGAUCUGGUCAAAAUGGUCUUUACCGACUCGUCUUGAAACACGAACCAAGGAGUCUAACGUACACGCGAGUAUGUCGGUGGAAAAACCGUCAUGCAUAAUGAAAGUGAGUGAUGCCAAGCGCAAGCAGCAGCAUCAACCGACCAUGAUCCUCUGGAGAAAGGUUUGAGUAUGAGCGUGUCCUUUAGGACCCGAAAGAUGGUGAACUAUGCCUGCGUAGGGUGAAGCCAGG
rnacentral:rRNA from 1 species